rnacentral:misc_RNA from 1 species
GAUGAAGAACGUAGCGAAAUGCGAUAAGUAAUUUGAAUUGCAGAAUUCAGUGAAUCAUCGAAUCUUUGAACGCACCUUGCACCCUUUGGUAUUCCGAAGGGUAUGCUCGUUUGAGUGUCAUUGUACUCUCACACUUCUAAUUCCUUUCGGGAUUGGGAGCGGUGGACUUGGGUGUUGCUGCUUUAGUUGUGGCUCACCUCAAAUAAGUUAUUGCAACUCUUGGUUGGACAUAGUACGGCGUGAUAAGUGUCUUCGCCGGCGCCUCUGUAAGGAGGGUGGCCGAUCGGGAGCUCUGUGCUUCAAACCGUCUUCGGACAAUCUUUGACAACUUGACCUCAAAUCGAGUAGGACUACCCGCUGAACUUAAGCAUAUCAAUAAGCGGAGGA